rnacentral:lncRNA from 1 species
GAAGGAAGAGGAAAGAGAAGCAGAAGUCGUCGCUUUGAGUCGGGGGAGAGUGUGAGCCAAUAGCUGGUUCCUGGGCAGAGGAUGGAUAGAGAAGAGCAUAUACAGAUUCAGGACAUUUCAUCAGAGAUGUUUUCUAAACCCACAGCAAUCUCAUCUUGCUCCAGAAACUCAGGAUUCCACCCCCAGAGGUGAGCACGCUAGGACAGGACGCAGUACUGUCAGGAAAACAGAGUCCACCAGCUGGAGAACAACCUUCUGAGCAAACACCCAAGGUCACAGCCAUCCUCAAAUGCAAAGAGUGAGCCCAACUGAAACGCCCUACGGUGCUCCCAGCUCCCGAGAAAGUGACAGAAAGAUGCACAAAGAAGGAAGAAGAGGUUCAAAUGGCAGAUGAGGGAAAGCCAGAAAGGUGAGAAGAAAGAAAGGCAGAGCAAGAGAGACUGCAGAGAAUAAGGAAGGAAGGAAAAUGCAGAGGAAAAGGGGAGGUGAUUUAGAAGGGGGAGUGAAGGGAGAUAGCAGUGUGCAAGCA